rnacentral:snoRNA from 14 species
UAGCAAGCCUCCAGCACAUGUGGGCUAGCUGUGACUCUGUGCAUUCCUACAGUGUGUGCUGGAACAUUCUCCAAACGGUUUGAGGCAUUGCCCUGCUCCAUCCAGAGCAAGGUUAUUGAACUUUUCAGAACAU